CCCAUGUAAUUAUGGUUUCCACUAUUGUCGUCUUUUUCCUCAAUACCUUUGCCUGCAAAUUCUUUUUCCUCAAAAUUAAUUCCCUUCCUUGCCGUUUUCCACUCUUCAAAUUGCCUCCAAAAAUUUUCCCCCAAAAAUAUUCAUUAACUCUGUUUGCCGCUUCUUAAUUGGUCCAAACCUAAUUCAAAAUUUUCAAUUGAAGCAUCAUCUCGUCAACAAAUUAUGGCUUAAUCGACAGGUUUCAGUGUUAUUCUUCAAGCAGUCUUCUAGGUAUGCCCAUCAAUCCUAUCUAUUUUUUGGUUUAAACAGGUGAAUUUACUUCAUUCUAUAUGCGCACAUCUCGAUUGUUAGGUAUACUCAUUCUUGACCACUUUUAAAUGAGAUUGGUAUUUGGUUCGUGUGCAAGGGGAAUAGAGUAGCCCAUCAACUUGCUUCUUUCGUGUGCAAGGGGUAUAGAAAUAUCAUUUAGGUCUUAGUCUCGCAUUGUUUGCUAAUAUCUGAUGUUGCAGAUGCACAAACAUUUAUUUGUCUUUGAAAGAAAAGUGAUUAUACCUCUUGAUAUAUGUUGCUACAGAAUCAUAGAAGUUAUGUGGUUAAGUGAAAAGAAGAUUAGCUAAUUGUCGUUUGAGUUUGUCUACCUAAUGAGAUUUGGUUUUGAGAAGUAGCAAAACAAUAGGCUAAAAAGCUUUUUGUGUAGGAAGCCUCAGUUAGAGACAAGUAUUAAUAUGGGGAUUGAUCUAAUUUAUUUAAGGUUUUGGGAGGUCGAUGAGGAGAUGUUCAUUAACCGUUGCACAUGUUGAAAAUUUGCUUGGUAAGGUCUGUAGGAGAAAAUUGGUUGGACUUAUAUCUGAGACGUGGGAACUAAAGUAAAUUGGUUUGAAGGUAUCUUGGUGAAUUUAGCUAAACUUGAAAAAGAAUGAUGAUGGAAGUUAAAGAAAUUUAGGGACCAUUUCCAGGGUUGGAAUUCAUCACAUCAUCUUAAUAACUCUUAUUGCUCUGCGAAGAAAUACGAUUUUGUAAUCUUCCUUGUUCUGUGAAGACAUCAUGUCUAUUUAUGAGCUCCGGUGACAUGACAUCCUAAAGCAACUUUAGCAUAUAUACCCAAGUAAUACAAACAUUUUUACUUUUAAUUCAACUUGUAGAUAUCAACAUGACUUGUAAACUUAAUAAGACCUAAAUUAAGUAUUUUUAAUUACAAUUGUGAAUUUUAUCAUUGUGCCAAUAUGAUUUCUCCUUUUUCUUUUGGGAGAAAAUAAAAUAUGAAUUAUGCUUCUAUUGCAGUUGUUGCUAAGCUUUUUGAGCUAGAUUCAUUUAGAAUUAGGUUCGAAGUUAAUUAAUGAGUUUUCUAGUUCUUAAUGUGAAUUGACUACCUAGUGUGAUUUGUUCUUGUAGAAGCGUGUUUAGAAUUUUUAGAGCUAGUACACGAUCUAAAUGAAGUUGCGAACCUGCAAGAGAGGAUAAGUUGCUGCAGGCCUGGAGAAAGAUUGUAUGUUGGAGUUUAUGCAUAAAUUUGAUAAUGUGCUGUAAAUUUUAUUUUUUACCAUUUUAAUUUUAGAAUGGUCAUGACUUUGACAUUUUUUCCACUGCCUCUUUAUUUAAUAUUUUGUAACUUACCAUGUACUAUAUUAUGUUCGUACGAGUUCGUGACAGGUUGGGUGAACAGGUUUGCACAUGCUGGUGAUUCUGCUGUUGAAAUAGCAGAAAGCACAGCUUAUAUCCUCAUGUUUAUUUUAGGUCUAAUCUUUUAUUGUAUUGUUUCUCAAUUGAAUAGAAAGUUUUAAUUUUUAGUUAAAACAUCUUGUAGGGGCUGGACAAAGAGUUUUUGAUAAAAAAGCUUCCUUCAAUUCAAAUUGCAACAAGGAUGAGAUGCUUGUCAAAGAGUAUGAAUAUCUUGUAGAGAGGGUCAAAGGAGCAACAAAUUCCCGAAGAUACCCCUUUGGAGGAGAUACUUGUAGAUGAUCCUGAUGUUGAAAUUAAUAUCAUGAUGUCCGUUCUAGGUACGAAGCUCGGGCAUCAAAUUCUUGGGUUAGGAGAUGGCCGCCUUCGAGACAUUGGGAUAUCUUCUUCUAACAUAUGCAGUUUGGAGAAGAAGUUGGGAGCAGAAUGUGCUGCUUUUAAAGUAGCCAAUGCGGCUCGAGUAAACAUGGAGCAAAAUAUGCAGAACAAGCCAAAGGUUGUCGAGCAACAAUUCAAUUCUACAUAACAAUCUUGGCAUCAUUCUAUACAACAGUUAUGUAGUAAAGUUCCUAACUUCAUUGUACCACCAUUUAUACCAUUGUCAAUAGAGAAUGAUGGUAAUGAGAAAGAUUAUGCUAUUGAGGAUGAAGAGAAUAACUUUGGUGAGAAUCAGUACAUGUCUAAUUCACGAGAUUGAAGAGUCAUGUCUUUUAUUUGUAUAAAAAUAGAUAUAUAACAUGUUUGCUCUGCUUAUUUUAAUUUUAGAUGUAAUUAUACUUGGUGAAACUCAUUUAUUCGUGUUUUGAUGAAAUAUUUUGGAUUCAAUGUUGAUUGACGUUACGUUUUAA